rnacentral:rRNA from 1 species
UACGUAGGUGACAAGCGUUGUCCGGAUUUACUGGGCGUAAAGAGCGCGCAGGCGGUCGAUCGAGUCGAGUGUGAAAGCCCCCGGCUCAACUGGGGAGGGUCAUUCGAUACUGAUCGACUCGAAGGCAGGAGAGGGUAGUGGAAUUCCCGGUGUAGUGGUGAAAUGCGUAGAUAUCGGGAGGAACACCAGUGGCGAAGGCAGGUCUCUGGGCAUUAACUGACGCUGAGGCGCGAAAGCUAGGGUAGCAAACGGG